rnacentral:rRNA from 1 species
AGGGCACCACCAGGAGUGGAGCCUGCGGCUUAAUUUGACUCAACACGGGGAAACUCACCCGGCCAGGACACAAUAAGGAUUGACAGAUUGAUAGCUCUUUCUUGAUUUUGUGGGUGGUGGUGCAUGGCCGUUCUUAGUUGGUGGAGCGAUUUGUCUGGUUAAUUCCGAUAACGAACGAGACUCUAGCCUAUUAAAUAGACGAUAUAUUAUUAGUUUAUCGAGCUUCUUAGAGGGACAGGCAGCUUCUAGCUGCACGAGAUUGAGCAAUAACAGGUCUGUGAUGCCCUUAGAUGUCCGGGGCUGCACGCGCGCUACAAUGAUAAUAGCAGCGUGCAUUAAAAUCUUUUCUGGUAAGAAUUGGUAAACACGAAAUAUUGUCGUGCUUGGGAUAGGGGAUUGAAAUUAUUGCCCUUAAACGAGGAAUUCCCAGUAAGUGCGAGUCAUUAGCUUGCGUUGAUUACGUCCCUGCCCUUUGUACACACCGCCCGUCGCUACUACCGAUUGGAAGAUUUAGUGAAU